AUGGCGCUACCUCCUCGUCUCCUUCUGGUGGCCCUUCUCCUCGUCGCCCUCACCGGAGAGGCGGACGCCGGUGGCGCUGGCCAUGGCCACGCGCGCUACGACCGCGUCUUCAGCUUCGGUGACUCGCUCACCGACACCGGCAACUCGGCCAUUCUCCCGGUCACCGCCGGGGGGCCCUUCACCAACCCGCCGUACGGGCAGACCCACUUUGGCCGGCCCAACGGCAGGGCCUCCGACGGCCGCCUCGUCAUCGACUUCAUCGUGGAGUCUCUGGGGUUGCCGCCGCCAACUCCGUACCUCGCCGGCAAGACCGCGCAAGACUUCCGGCACGGCGCGAACUUCGCGGUGGGCGGCGCGACGGCGCUUGACCCGGCGUUCCUGCAGAGCAGAGGGAUCACAUCCUUCGUGCCGGUCGCUCUCAGCAACCAGACGAGCUGGUUCAACGGUGUUUUGCAGCUUCUCGACUCCACUGGCAACGGGCAGCGCAAGAUCAUGGCGAGCUCCCUCUUGUACCUGGGAGAGAUCGGAUUCAACGACUACUCUUUCGUCGCCGUCUUCGGCAACGGCACCGUGGGCCUGGCGCAGAGCCUGGUGCCGCACAUCGUCGGCGCCAUCCGUUCAGUCCUGACCGACGCGAUCGGUGUUGGAGCGCGGACGAUGGUGGUGGCGGGGAUGAUACCGAUGGGCUGCGAGCCGGAGCUGCUGGCCAUGCUACCCGGCGGCGGGGGCGACUACUACGACCGGGCGUCCGGCUGCAUCGCGCGGUUCAACCAGCUCGCCCAGCUGCACAACCGCGCGCUGAAGCGCAUGCUCUGUCAGCUCCGGCGAGACCACCCCGGCACGGCCAUCCACUACGCCGACCUGUACCGCCCCAUCACCGCGGUCGUAUCCUCGCCCAGAAAAUACGGCUUCGGCGACAUACCCUUGGCAGCGUGCUGCGGCGGCGGCGGCGGGCCGUACAACUUCAACUUCACCUUCUUCUGCGGCACUCCGGCGGCAACCGCGUGCGCCGACCCGUCGAGGUCCGUUUCGUGGGAUGGGAUCCAUUACACGGAGGCUGCAAAUAAGUUCGUUGCACACGCCAUACUGAGGGGGUUGUAA
rnacentral:rRNA from 1 species